rnacentral:lncRNA from 1 species
GCGACAAGCAAAAGACUUUUUGUGAUCAGAUGAGUGCCGACAAUCCUUUUAAGAUCUGAAAAAAUAUUUAACGUUUCUACCAUUACUCACAAAAUCAAAGGUGAAAAGAUAUUGUAUCUUUAUCUGGCAACUUCGGUAAAGACGGUUAGUUCGGUACUUAUUCAGGAGGACAGAAAUUGAAUUCAACAGUCGAUUUGUUACACCAGUAAGAUGCUUGACAAUACUGAAAUACGAUAUCU